GAGCUCGAAUUACAAAAAAUGGUAAACAACAAGAGGCCCACAACUAAAAGGGCCUAAGCCCACAGUCUUAACCCUAGCUAAUAAAAGGAAGAGAACUGAAAGCACAGUGCCACCCAUCUCACUAAUCCCGCUUGGAAGAUGAAGCACUUUUGGCUUGCAGACCAGAGGCCAAGGAUCACCAGAAGCUUCAUUUGCCAAACAAAACAAGGGACCUCAAGAAGAACUCAAAAACCUUCAACAACUCUUGACCUUAGAGGGUCCACGGACCAAAAGAGAACGGUUGGCUAAAAGGACCCUUGAGGUACUCUUCCUCAUGGCAACACUUGCUUUCUCCUUAGGGCUAAGCAAAUGGUCCACCAAGCAACACUAGGUUUGAGACCCAUACAGUUGACACCCACUCUCAAUUAUCUCUGAUGGAGUUGAAAUGAGCAUAUCAAGAAAGCCCCUCCAACAAUCAAGUCUGAUAUGCAACAAAAGCACUUUUUUUAUUAAGCACAGUAGGUUGGGAGGGAAGAUUCACUUUUAGGACUGGGGGAAGCAAGGCCCCCUGUCAUAGGAGAAAUCGCUCAAAUAGCGGAAAACAGAGGGGGAGCCUCAAGAAGAACUUUGUAGUUUUGAGAGAAAAUUUCUCUCUUUAUCGUCUAGAGAGAGAAGGAUACUUGUUUCUUGUAUAAUUAGUGAAAUUCAAAUUAUAACACUUAUGCCUUGGCAGAACACCCCUGAUUCCUAUCUAAAAAAUUCGGAUUCUUACGCCUAUACCUUGACAUCUCCAUAUUUACUGCUUAG
rnacentral:misc_RNA from 1 species